UUAAGUUCAGCGGGUAUCCCUACCUGAUCCGAGGUCAACCUUUGAUAAGAGUUUAACGGCCGCGGCUGUUCGAACUCGGAGCGAUCGUGUGUCACAACGCUGGGAGACGGACAGCUCAGCCGGAGACUUUGAGGUGCGCGGAGCCGCGACGCCCAAUACCAAGCCAGGCUUGAGUGGUGAAAUGACGCUCGAACAGGCAU
rnacentral:misc_RNA from 1 species